AUGAUAUUUAAUUGAUAAUAUGUUAUGUGAAAUAUGAUUAGACUAUAUGGUAGAGUCAAAGCAUGAUUAUGUGUUAAGUGAUAUUUGAUGAGUUUAAAGAGUUAUAUAAGUGGGUAUCGAUAUACGUGAUAUGUGUAUGCGAUAGGUUAUGCUACCGAGUUGAUAAGCAGAGAUAAGAAUCAAUAGAUUAUUUAGUGAUAAUGGUAGUAUCUUAUUCUCGUAAAGGGUUUGGACGAGACGGAUACGAUCGAAGACGUUCAGAAGGUCAAACGAUGUUACAAAGCGAAUAAGGAACGAAUCGAGUAAACGAAGCAGUGUGGCGAAUAGAGUAUAGCCAAAGAUGGUCUAGAGACUAUGAUAUGCAUAGAGUGUGAAAGUGGAAAGAUGAGAUUGAGAUAUGAGACUGGAAUCGGAUUUAAGAAAAGCUUAGAGUUGAAUUGAGAUUGCGAGUAUGGCUAAGGCUAAGCGAGGAGUCAGAGUUAUAGAAUAUCCAGAGGACAAGUGGAAUGUUCAGGGAGAUUGACAAGGUUGGUUCUAAAUAGAGUUGUAUUAUUGAGAUUCAGUUGUAAGUCAUAAUUGAGGUAGACUGGCAGUGAUUCUUCUUAUCGAAGAUGAUCUGAGUUUGUAAGAUAAUGUUUAUUAAUAGUGGUUGAUUCUAAUUUCAAUACUGUAACCUGGA